ACUCAAGCAUCACGCGCUGAAGAGGCUCAUGUUUUGAAAACAAAAGCAGCUGACCCUUUUCCAUUGUUUCUGGCUCUAGUUCUUUUGUGAGAUUCAUCGAUUGGUAUUAGCUACUACUGCAACUCUAACUUAUUCAAGGCCUUCUUCUAGCAAUCUAGAGCUGAAAUCUACAGGCUUCCACUGCACUCAGCUCAGCUUAUCAUAAUCAGCUAGUACUAGUUGCAGGCAACUCAGUUCCAACCAACUUUAGUCAAGUACAGUCUACAGAGAGUGGUGCAGAUGUAGGCCAGGUCUACAGACCCCUGGAAAUACUGUCACAGCUAGAGCUUGAAAGUGAUGCUGAUGAGGAUGCCCAGCCUUUUUCUGCCAGUAACUCAGUCAAAACUGGUGGUGAGACUUUAUUGUCUGUUUUCGGUGGAAGAUGCUGCUCUUUCGAUUGCCUGGUGAUAGUGACACGAGCAGAUGCAGCUGCAGCCCGCUCAGCCUUCAAGGAGAAAUCUUUGUAUGAUCAGCGGAUAUAGCUUCUGAAGUACUUCAGGACUCAUUCUUCUCAAGCUGAAGAUGCGAGCUUUCAGUUCUCAUUCAGCAUUGGUCUAGAGCCGGUGUGUGCUACAGCCUGGUACCAGGUGAUUGGAAUUGUGAGAUCAAGAUUCUACUACUAGCAAAAACGGUUCAUAGCAGCAGUGAGAGACAGAAAUACUACAAGCACAUUCAAAAAGCGAAGGCAAGCCCAGACAAAUAUAUGAGCAUCAUCAUCGAUGGGAUAUGGAUCAACACUGCACAGCAAUACCGCAACUACACCCAGCACCCAAAGCCCUAAGCCACACGGACCAACUCAACACACACAUCACUGGUGCAAUUGUAGAUGGAAGUGGUCAACACACUCAUAUCGACAUCAAAGAAUACCUUCAUGACAGCAACCUCACCAUCAACAUCAUCCUCAACAUUCUCAUCCACUGCACCGACUCCCUUCCACCAACUUUGUAUCUUCGAUUAGACAAGACAGCAAGGGAGAACAAGAAUCGACACGUCUUUGCCUUUCUCUCUCUCUUAAUGGAGCUCAUUAUCUUCAAAAAGAAGACGAUGCAACAGUGAGGUGGCCCAUUUGCGACUUAAUGCUAGCAGGCACUCAACCAGUGAAUGCUCCACAGCAGCAAGUGCAUGCUGACAUCACAGAGGAAAAACCAUACAGACAGGUUCAUCUUGGACCCAAUGCGAGGAAGGCUCAAGAGGACAGAAAUACUGGAGGGAGAUAUGGUGGCCACCUACCGCGAGGCGUAUAGCACACAAUGACCACAGAUAGGACAAGGACAAGAUGUGGACAAGGUCAGGGAGGAUGUCCUUGUACUAGAAUGGUUUACAGGGACAUUGACAACAAAAUGGAAGAAGAUGAUGGUUGCUGUCACAGGACAGCGGGACUGGAAGCAGGUUUGGGUUGAGACCAUUCCAAGGGAUAGUGUAAUUCUCCUUCCUUUCACUCUGACAGCAAGAGACAAACUGCCACCUCAGUUAGUGAUUCGAUUGAAGGAGAAAUAUAUGGAUUAUUUGAAGUAGGUAUUCAGGCCUAGUUAAAGCCCUUCUAUAGUGUUGGGACCCCCCCCCCCCCCCCCCCCCCCAAUUUGAUGGCAAUAUUCCACAUAGAGUGCGUACUGACAUAUGGUUUUCGAUGAACACACAAUUCUGCAAGGAUUUUCAUGACGCUAGUGAUUGAAGACAAAUUUUGGUAAUAGAAAUAAAGGAAUUUCAAUUUUUCUCUUUUAAGCAUACAACUCAAUUUUUAAAAAGAUUUGUUUUUAAAUCAUCACUAAGAUAACAAAUGAACUUUCGAACAUUAAGUUUUAAGUAACAUGUAUAUGUGAUAAAUUGUUCGCCCUGAAACUGCACUGAAAUAUUUUAUUCGGCUCAAGUUCUUAUCUAGAAAAUAUCAGAGGAGAGACAGACUAAUUCCAUGUCAACUGUAAAUGUAAAACAUUUUUUUCCCGUAUGAGUAUAAAUUUAUCUCAAAAUUGUUUGCAUAUGGGAUGUAGUCUUAACCCCCUUCCCCCCCCCCCCCCCAUCCCCCACCCCUGCUUAUUCACAGGCUGGCUGAGUCGUUGCGAAAUUUUCGGCGCGAUUUUCAGAUUUUAAAACCCCACCUUGGAAAAAGUCCUGCGUACGCCCCUGUAAGUUGGUAUAAAGCUUAUACCAUUUAGUGCCCUGUUGGUUGGUAUAAUGCUUAUACCAUUUAGUGCUCUGUAGAUUGGUUUAACGCUUAUACCAUUUAGUGCUCCUUGGAUUGGUAUAACGCUUAUACCAUUUAGUGCUCUGUAGUAUACAAAUAAUACGCUGCCUUUGGAAGUUCUGGUUAAACCUAUGCGCAAGAGGUGACUCCAAUAGUACUAUUUGCUGAGGGGUAUAUUUGUUUUAUAUCAUGCAUUAAAAAUCUAUUUAAUUUUUUUUUUU